rnacentral:tRNA from 1 species
GUGAAUAAAUGUCGUCGCUUGACUGUUAAUCAAUUGGUCGUAGGUUCGAUCCCUACCGUCGGAGCCA